rnacentral:rRNA from 1 species
UAGAUACCCUGGUAGUCCACGCCGUAAACGAUGUGAACUAGAUGCAGGGGGUGUUGAUCCCCUCUGUGUCGCAGCUAACGCAUUAAGUUCACCGCCUGGGGAGUACGGUCGCAAGAUUAAAACUCAAAGGAAUUGACGGGGGCCCGCACAAGCGGUGGAGUAUGUGGUUUAAUUCGAUGCAACGCGAAGAACCUUACCUGGUCUUGACAUCCCGGAGACGCCCAUGAAAGUGGGUGGUGCCUUCUUUGAA